CGCAGCUGCCGCCUUGUUCUCGCGGGUCGCUCAGUCUGGGGAAGCCAGCCGCCGUGUGGUGAGGACAUCCAAGCGGCCCUGUGGAGAGGCCCAUGUGGCCAGGAAGUGAGGCCUCUGCCAACAGCCAGUGCGAGCCUGCCACCAGGGGAGGAAGCCACCUUGGAAGAGGGUCCUCCAGCCCGAGUCCAGCCUUUGGAUGCCUGUGGCCCGGUCGACAGCCUGACACAGCCUCACGGGAAACCUGAGCUGGAACCACACAGCCCCCAAGUUCCUGACCCACAGAAACAAUGUGAGAUAACAAAUUUUCACUAUUUUAAGCCACUAAGUUUUGAAGUACUUUGUUAUGAAGCAAAAGAUAAGGAAUUCAACCCGCAGUAAGUAUUCAUAUAAAUAAGUGUAUGGAUGGCCGGCAAAUGAUGACACCACCUCCCACUCGCGGGGCCCUUCCUCUGUCUGGGGCACUGAAUUAAGUGGCUCACCUGUCUUGGUUCAUAGUCAAUCGUCACAGCAACCUAUGAGCCAGCCAUCACCCCACGCCCAUUUUAUGGAUGAAGAACCAGGUACAGCGAGGUUGAAUAACUCACCCAGCAUCACACCGGCAGAGCCCAGACUCGCUCCCAGACAGGUGGGGGCCACAGGAUUCACUUCUGUACCACACGGUGGCUGCUGUCCCAUCCCAGUCCUCCUUGCCAGCCCCCUGGGGCCUGGAGGGGUCCCUCCCGCGGGUUGUGUGGCUCUGCAGAGGCUGACCUUGGAGGUGAGUGGACACGGAGGCGGAGCUGGGAAAUGCCAAGCUCGUGACCCGGAGCGACUCCUUUCAUCCGGCUUCUGGGAGCGCUGUUCUCUCCCCACCUGUGGACGCCAGUUGGACGGGAUGGGGGCAGGGCCGCUUCUGUUGAGUCACUCGCAGUGGAUCCGAGUCUCCGUGGGGGUGGGGUGGGGGUCGGGGAGCUCAGGUUCCGGUAGCCUUGUCAUCACUGCUCCUAUGCAAGCCCGCUAAGGUUAUACCCCCCGGACACUGGCUGGACACUCGCAGGACCUCGGAGGCUCCGUUCUCUGGAUCCGAAACAAUACAGUGGGGGCAGAGCUAAAAAUAACAGUGGAAAACCACCGGCCCCACUUGCCCUCUAAGAAAAGGAGGCUGAAUGGGUCUGAGGCUUCUGGGGAGCACGGAGCGCUCAUGCCCCUGCAUCGUGUGAAGGGAACUGGGCUACGCUGAGCAGGCCCCUUGUGAGAGGUGUGAGGUACAAGGGACCCGGGCAUAGGCAGCCGGGGCCCAGCUUGGGCUCCACCUGUCACACUCACUGUGUGACCUCAGGGUAGUUGCUUAACAUCUCUGUGCCUCUGAAAAAUUCAUUUGAAAAAUUGAGACAACGAUGGCACCUGCUCCCCAAGAGUGACUGAGCUCGUGCCCCAGGGUCUCCAGCUCACCUGGGGGAGGUCUUUCCAGUGACCUCACAGGCGGGGAGCUGUGACUGCCAUUUACAGAUGAGGAAAUGCGGUUAAGACUCUCAGGGGCCACACAGAGCUAAGAAGAGGCAGAAACAGUCAGGGUUCAAGCCUGAACAAUGUCAUUGCCUCUAUGUCACCUGGCCCCUAUUCACUUUUGAGCCAUCAGAACCUGCCACUGUGUGUGGCACCUGUUAGAUGCGGUCACUGUUGUCAAGCAAAUGGAUAGAAUGGAUUGGGUGGGCAGAAAGUGAACUCCCCGUCACUCCAGAGGUAUGCAAGCACAGCCUGGGGCCUGGUAGGGGUCCUCAAGCAUUGGAUUUGGGGUUGAACUCAAUAUCAUUUAAGGUCCUUCCUGCCCCUGGAUGCCAGGGCUCAUCACCGUCCUCCCCAGGAAGACAAAGAAGACACAGAGAUUAUUAGGUCUGUUUUAUAGUGGGCGAAACUGAGGCCCAGAGCCAGGUUUUGCCCAAGGUCACUCCCUCAGGCCCAGGUGAAGCUGGCUGGGGCCUCAGUCAAGGUGGAUGCUCACUCAUUCAGCCCCAGCAGGAAGGUGGGCUCCUGCCUCUGAGCGACUAGAGAGGCAGGCGGGUGACAUGAGGACACAGGACAUGGGGAAGCCGAGGGCAAGCCCUAGAGGCGUGCUGGGCCAGGGAGCGGGCAAGGCCGGCAGCAAGGGGGCCCUGGGGCUUCUUCGGUCUCCCUCCCUCAUCCGACAGGUGAACAGACGAAGACCCCGAGAGGCGAUUCCUUGCUCCAGGUCCGUCUGUUACACGGGGACAGGCUGGGGACAGGCCUGCUGAGAAGGAGCGGGAGGCACAGGCCUGGACGUGGCAGGGCCUGAGGCUCCAGCAAGGGUGGGGGUCACUAGGUGGGCAGGAGCCAGACUGGACUCGGGGUCUUCUGACCUCGCUCAGCCCCUCCCUCUGGAGACCCUUUUCCAAGCACUCAGGAUGGGCAAAGCCCUUUUCCAGAUGUGCUGCGCAGAUGCCCUCCUUUCUCCUAUGGUCAGGACUGAGAAUUCCAUCACCUCCAUUUCUUCAGAAGAGGAAACGACGGCCAGAGAGGUUAAGCAAUUUGCCUGAGGCCACAGAGCCAGCAAGGGGGCUGGGGGUGAAACUCUGGCAGUGGCUGCUAAGUCCCAGGUCUUGCCCCCCAUCACCCUGGCUCUGGCGGCCUCCCCCUGAGGGUGGAGGAUGGACCACCUCCUUUCCCUCCAAGGUCAUCUCAGCGACCUUCAGGGGCCUCUCUCAAGCUCAGCAUCCACCCCUCGGGCCCCGGCCAAGACGUGGCAGCCCGUGCCCAGGACGGGGGCAGGUGGCGAGCAGCCAACAGGGGUGUGCUGUGAGCCUGGAGCACCCACGCGUGCCAUCCACCCCACGGGCACCUCCUUCAUCACCAGCGCUUUGGGGCUAUAACUCACGUUCUGCACACUUACCCAUCUAAAGCGCACGGCUCAGUGGCUUCAGUCACUUCCCAGAGUAUCCACAUUUUCAUCACCCGGAAAGAAACCCUCACCUCUUAGCGGUCGCUCCCUUCCCCCUCCCCUGCCCCAGGCCCCCACGCGUCUCCUUCCUGUCUCUGUAGAUUUGCCUAUUGUGGCGGGUUCCAUAAUGGAAGGGCAAGACCCGGGAUACCUCCUUUUGAAGCCUUGGGCAGUAAGACGGUGUUCUCCCCAUUUCACAGUAAGGGAACUGCAGCUCAGAGUGGUCAAGUAACUUGCCCAAGGUCACCCAGCUCAGAAAUGGUGGGAGGAUUUGGACUAUGUCUCUCUGGCUCCAGAGACCCCAGGCCACCCUCUGUGGCCUGGAGCCCAGAGUUGCCUGACAGCUUCAAGGGCCUGGGGGCCAGGGAGUGGGAGGGAGGCUGAGAGCAUGGGGGAGUUUGAGGGUGUGGAGGGCCCAGAGGAGGCACCGGGUCUGGUCACCAGGUACCAGGAUCACAGGGAAGAAAAGAAAUGGGCCCGGCAGGUGGGGGGCGGGGGCCGGCAGACUGGAGAAGGGGGCUACCCUCCCCUAGGUGGCAGUCUGGCCCUGGCUGUCUGUCCUUUCCUGCUGAUCGGUCCAGGCACAGCCCCAGGAUGCCUUCCCCGCUGCUGCCUCCUCUCCCUCUGGAAACAGCCCUCUCCCCUGACUCGUGUAGACCCCGGCCCCGGAGGAUGACUCAGCCUGAGCCCUGGAGCCAGCUGUCCCUCUGCCUCCUCCUCCUCCCCAGCUGUCCCCCUCUGGCAGAAGUUCCCGGGACGUGAUUGUCACCAACCCCAGGCUGGCUGUGCCAGGAUGGCUGCGGCCAGCACCCGAGGGCGGGGUGGCUCUGCCUGCAUGUCCUCCGGGCCGGCCUCUGGCCAGGGCACUCAUGCCCUUUGAGUCAGGGGGCCCUGCUCACCCCUUACUGGUGAGCCCCCUUCAGAUAAACAUGAGAACCUCAGGUCCUCUUGUACUUUUAAAGUCAUUUCCAUAUUUUGACCAAAGGAAACCGAAUUUUAGAAUUUGCUCUUUCAGGCUACUCUCAGCUUGGGACCCCAGUCUGGUCCAUCCCACCAGCCCCCUUGGGAAUCUCAAUUUACUGAACCCCUGACACAUAGAUCAAGUUUCCUCUUGGGUGGAUGGGGAAACUGAGGCUCAGAGGAGAAAAGGGACUUGCCCAAGGUCAGCCGCUGGAAGGGACAGGCUUGGGAGGUGGGGCUCCCAGCACCAGGGUCCCCAGGAAAUGGAAUUCUGAGAGGACAGCUGUGGGCCUAGCCUGCCAGGGCCAGGAGGGGGGCCACUGUGACCCUUAGUGGCCCAACAGUCAAAUGAUAGCAGCAGCUGCUUAGUAAGCUCGAGUCUCAAACCUUUAUUCCCUUUUUCAUCCACGAAUUCAUUUAGGGCCUGGAUUGGAAGACCAGCUCCAGUAAACUUAGUGCUCUGUGACUUUGGGCAAGUCAGUUAACCUCUCUAGGACUCAGUCUCCUCAUGGAUAAGAGGGGUGUGAUGAUAACAGCGCCUGCCUCCCAGGGCUGGAGUGAAGAGAGAAUGAGUCACUGUGCGGACAGUGCGUAGAAAGCGCCCAGCACUGUCAGGGGCCUGAGGAACGUGAGCUGACGUUGUUACUAGGAUUCCUGGUGACUGCAUGUGUGGCAGAGCCACUUCCACUCCCCUGGAUGAGGAAACUGAGGCACAAAGUCGUGGAAUAACUUGCCCCCAAAUCACACCCUGGGAAGAGGCAGGGCUGGCUCCAGAGCUGAGCUGACGAGGACUCAGGUUCACCCUGUGGUGCUCAUGCCCAACCAUUUGGUGUUCCUGGAAUAUCCUGGGCUCUCCCACGUCCCCGUCACUUUUGUGCUCUGGUCCGUCUUCCCUCCCAAAAGAGAGACUUUCUGGUCAGCUCGGACUCUCUCCUGGAGUCCCACUUUGGGGAGCAUGUCCUCUCCCCCUGCCGGCCCAGCCUGGAACAGGCCCUGCGCUUUCUGGCAUGGCCUCCCUCAGGGCACUGACCACAUGGUGCUCUAUCCUCGAUGCUGUGUCUGCAGGGACCCCAGCAACAAGGACUGUUGGCAAGCUGUGGGCCAAUGGGUGGAAUCCAGGGCUGGUCACGGAGAGCAGCUGAUUCCGCUACUCAUGCAAAGGGAGGGGCCAGCUGCGGGAACCGGGAAAGGGAAACCCCCUGGAGAGGCCCCUGCAGGAGAUGUGGGUUCUCCUGGAGGGAUGGAGCCAGCCUGCGGCUACCCAGCAGGGCAGGGUCAGGGGAGUAGACGGUCCAGCUUCACUCUCCCCAAACUCCAACCUCCAGCACUUCCCCACUGCAAGCCGAGGGCGGGGAGCCCGGGAUGCUGUCCGUUGGGUUGGCCUUCAGGCAGAGAGCAGGGGGCUGGGAGGAGAGUGGGUCUGGAGAGGCAGAGAGAGACCCUGAGCUCUCGUGUCUGUCUCCCUGCCAUGCCGUGAGGCCCAGCGCCGAUGGAGAGCAAGCGUAGAGGCUUCACAGUGUGUCUGCACGUCCUCGGGCUGUCCCCCCGUCAAGAGAUGGAAGCCAGGUCCCCUCGCUGGAACACGGCUGGCUCGGUGACGGGCUCCUCAAGAGCAGAAUGUGGGGGGGGUCACUGUGUGAUCCCCAGGGCGAGGUCACGAAAGCGAGGCAGCGUCCGCCCGGCCGUGUCUCUUGGGUCCCUUGCGCUUGCAACCAAGUGUCCACAUCAGGAGGAAGCCGAGUGACCACGUGGCUGUAUCCAGCAGACAGCCGGCCGCGGUGUGGGCGAGCCUGGAGACGAGGACGGCAGCCCAGACCCCGAGCGACCUGAGCCUGCGCCCCCUCACUGCGCUGGUUGACCCCGAGAACCGGGAGAGGCCAUAAUAAAAUAUUGAACUGUUG
rnacentral:lncRNA from 1 species